CAAAAAUCCAACUCUUACCUUCCCAGGUCACAGGAAACAAUUGGGCGUCUGAGUUUCUCCUGGCUCAAGGCACAGUAUUUCCAUUUGGCAGCCAACUCUGCAUUUUUAUCAACCUGGACACAUAAACACGCUGCAGAUUAGUUUACUAUCGAUGGUGCUGUCCAAGAGCGACCAUUAGUUUGGGGAAUACCUCAGUGGAGACAUCUCAGUGGAGACAUCUCUGGCAUGACUGAUGCUCUGUGUGGAAAAGAAGACUGAAUAUAAACUCAGCAAUGGACUUCAUUUUGGCUGAGAAAAUAGAGUUCAACCUCUUUACACUCACCACACACAGGCAGCUGCCACUGGUUCCCAAAAUGUACCAAAAUGAAUAAAUGUAAACAUAAAAACAUUAAUCCAU